rnacentral:rRNA from 1 species
CCUACGGGUGGCAGCAGUGAGGAAUAUUGGUCAAUGGGCGCGAGCCUGAACCAGCCAAGUAGCGUGAAGGAUGAAUGCCCUACGGGUUGUAAACUUCUUUUAUAAAGGAAUAAAGUGAGGCACGUGUGCCUUUAUGUAUGUACUUUAUGCAUAAGGAUCGGCUAACUCCGUGCCAGCAGCCGCGGUAAUACGGAGGGUCCGAGCGUUAUCCGGAUUGAUUGGGUGUAAAGGGAGCGUAGAUGGGUUGUUAAGUCAGUUGUGAAAGUCUGCGGCUCAACCGUAAAAUUGCAAUUGAUACUGGCAGUCUUGAGUACAGUAGAGGUAGGCGGAAUUCGUGGUGUAGCGGUGAAAUGCUUAGAUAUCACGAAGAACUCCGAUUGCGAAGGCAGCUUACUAGACUGCCACUGACGUUGAUGCUCGAAAGUGUGGGUAUCAAACAGGAUUAGAUACCCUUGUAGUC